GGAUUAGUAGCAAAAUUGGUUACUGCAUACUGUUUGGGUCAGUAAGGUUGUGAGUUCAAAUCUCAUCUGUCCG
rnacentral:tRNA from 1 species